UAAAGAAAGGAAAGGCAAUGAUGUCAGUCCCAUCUCAUCCUGACAAUGCUGGUCUCUUCAAGAUGAGAUUGGAACAUGUGUCUCAAAGAAAUGAAGAUCUGACCUGAAUCUCUAAAUGGGAGAAACAGCUGACCUGCAAAGCAGCUCUGGCUUCUGCCAAAUUUUAUCACAAUCACAUGCAAGUGAUCACCAAGAGGAGAGCUCUCCUACAGUGGCCUGGAUGUUGUGCAGAUAAACAAGCCUCA